rnacentral:sRNA from 1 species
AUUGGGUAAUUAUUUAUCCUUGUGGACAAUAUUCAGAUUACUGACGCAUUCACACUUUUUCUUAUA